rnacentral:rRNA from 1 species
GACGAACGCUGGCGGCGUGCUUAACACAUGCAAGUCGAACGGAAAGGCCCUGCUUUUGUGGGGUGCUCGAGUGGCGAACGGGUGAGUAACACGUGAGUAACCUGCCCUUGACUUUGGGAUAACUUCAGGAAACUGGGGCUAAUACCGGAUAGGAGCUCCUGCUGCAUGGUGGGGGUUGGAAAGUUUCGGCGGUUGGGGAUGGACUCGCGGCUUAUGAGCUUGUUGGUGGGGUAGUGGCUUACCAAGGCUUUGACGGGUAGCCGGCCUGAGAGGGUGACCGGCCACAGUGGGACUGAGAUACGGCCCAGACUCCUACGGGAGGAAGCAGUUGGGAAUAUUGCACAAUGGGCGGAAGCCUGAUGCAGCAACGCCGCUUGCGGGAUGACGGCCUUCGGGUUGUAAACCGCUUUCGCCUGUGACGAAGCGUGGGUGACGGUAAUGGGUAAAGAAGCACCGGCUAACUACGUG